rnacentral:rRNA from 1 species
GAUGAACGCUGGCGGCGUGCUUAACACAUGCAAGUCGAACGAAGCAAUUUAGCGGAAGUUUUCGGAUGGAAGCUAAAUUGACUGAGUGGCGGACGGGUGAGUAACGCGUGGGUAACCUGCCUCACACUGGGGGACAACAGUUAGAAAUGACUGCUAAUACCGCAUAAGCGCACAGGGCCGCAUGGUCCGGUGUGAAAAACUCCGGUGGUGUGAGAUGGACCCGCGUUUGAUUAGCUAGUUGGUGGGGUAACGGCCUACCAAGGCGGCGAUCAAUAGCCGACCUGAGAGGGUGACCGGCCACAUUGGGACUGAGACACGGCCCAAACUCCUACGGGAGGCAGCAGUGGGGAAUAUUGCACAAUGGGGGAAACCCUGAUGCAGCGACGCCGCGUGAGUGAAGAAGUAUUUCGGUAUGUAAAGCUCUAUCAGCAGGGAAGAGAAUGACGGUACCUGACUAAGAAGCCCCGGCUAACUACGUGCCAGCCGCCGCAGUAA